rnacentral:rRNA from 1 species
GAUGAACGCUAGCGGCAGGCUUAAUACAUGCAAGUCGAGGGGCAUCAAGGUACACGAAAGUGUAUUGUUGGCGACCGGCGGACGGGUGAGUAAUAGGUAGGUAACCUACCUCAUACUGAGGCAUAGCUGGGAGAAAUUCCAGGUAAUUCCUCAUGAGGUUAUAUGACACAUGUGAUAUAAUCAAAGGUAUCGCAAGGUACUGGUAUGAGAUGGGCUUACUGACCAUUAGCUAGUUGGUGAGAUAAGAGCUCACCAAGGCGAAGAUGGUUAGGGGUUUUGAGAGAGAGAUCCCCCACAUUGGAACUGAGAUACGGUCCAGACUCCUACGGGAGGCAGCAGUAGGGAAUAUUGGGCAAUGGGCGGAAAGCCUGACCCAGCCAUGCCGCGUGAAGGAAGACGGCCUUAUGGGUUGUAAACUUCUUUACUAGAUAAAGUUAGUAGUACGAGACUAAUUGUAAGUAGUAGUAGUAAAAGCACGGUACUAACUAAACCGUGCCGACG